AGUGAACGCUGGCGGUAGGCCUAACACAUGCAAGUCGAACGGCAGCACAGUAAGAGCUUGCUCUUACGGGUGGCGAGUGGCGGACGGGUAGGAAUACAUCGGAAUCUACUUUUUCGUGGGGGAUAACGUAGGGAAACUUACGCUAAUACCGCAUACGACCUACGGGUGAAAGCAGGGGAUCUUCGGACCUUGCGCGAUUGAAUGAGCCGAUGUCGGAUUAGCUAGUUGGCGGGGUAAAGGCCCACCAAGGCGACGAUCCGUAGCUGGUCUGAGAGGAUGAUCAGCCACACUGGAACUGAGACACGGUCCAGACUCCUACGGGAGGCAGCAGUGGGGAAUAUUGGACAAUGGGCGCAAGCCUGAUCCAGCCAUACCGCGUGGGUGAAGAAGGCCUUCGGGUUGUAAAGCCCUUUUGUUGGGAAAGAAAAGCAGCAGGUUAAUACCCCGCUGCUCUGACGGUACCCAAAGAAUAAGCACCGGCUAACUUCGUG
rnacentral:rRNA from 1 species